CCUACGGGAGGCAGCAGUGAGGAAUAUUGGUCAAUGGGCGCGAGCCUGAUCCAGCCAAGUAGCGUGAAGGAUGACUGCCCUACGGGUUGUAAACUUCUUUUAUAAAGGAAUAAAGUGAGGCACGAGUGCCUUUUUGUAUGUAUUUUAUGCAUAAGGAUCGGCUAACUCCGUGCCAGCCGCCGCGGUAAUACGGAGGAUCCGAGCGUUGUCCGGAUUUAUUGGGUUUAAAGGGAGCGUAGGUGGGUUGUUAAGUCAGUUGUGAAAGUUUGCGGCUCAACCGUAAAAUUGCAAUUGAUACUGGCAGCCUUGAGUACAGUUGAGGUAGGCGGAAUUCGUGGUGUAGCGGUGAAAUGCUUAGAUAUCACGAAGAACUCCGAUUGCGAAGGCAGCCCACUAAACUGCCACUGACAUUGAUGCUCGAAAGUGUGGGUAUCAAACAGGAUUAGAUACCCUAGUAGUC
rnacentral:rRNA from 1 species